rnacentral:rRNA from 1 species
CCUACGGGAGGCAGCAGUGGGGGAUAUUGCACAAUGGGGGAAACCCUGAUGCAGCGACGCCGCGUGUGGGAAGACGGUCCUCUGGAUUGUAAACCACUGUCCCCAGGGACGAAGAUGACGGUACCUGGGGAGGAAGCUCCGGCUAACUACGUGCCAGCAGCCGCGGUAAUACGCAGGGAGCGAGCGUUGUCCGGAUUGACGGGGUGAAAGGGGAGCGUAGGCGGGGAUGCAAGUUGGGUGUCAAAACUAGCGGCUAAACUGGUAAUCGCACUCAAAACUGCAGCUCUUGAGUGAAGUAGAGGCAGGUGGAAUUCCUAGUGUAGCGGUGAAAUGCGUAGAUAUGAGGAGGAACACCAGUGGCGAAGGCGGCCUGCUGGGCUUUUACUGACGCUGAGGCUCGAAAGUGUGGGGAGCAAACAGGAUUAGAUACCCCUGUAGUC